rnacentral:rRNA from 1 species
UACGUAGGUGACAAGCGUUGUCCGGAUUUACUGGGCGUAAAGAGCGCGCAGGCGGUCGAUCAAGUCGAGUGUGAAAGCCCCCGGCUCAACUGGGGAGGGUCAUUCGAUACUGAUCGACUCGAAGGCAGGAGAGGGUAGUGGAAUUCCCGGUGUAGUGGUGAAAUGCGUAGAUAUCAGGAGGAACACCAGUGGCGAAGGCGGCUUCCUGGACACCAACUGACGCUGAGACGCGAAAGCGUGGGGAGCAAACAGG